UAGUUCAGUCGGUUAGAAUACCUGCCUGUCACGCAGGGGGUCGCGGGUUCGAGUCCC
rnacentral:tRNA from 2 species